rnacentral:rRNA from 1 species
UGAGGAAUUUUGCGCAAUGGGCGAAAGCCUGACGCAGCGACGCCGCGUGGAGGAAGACGGCCUUCGGGUUGUAAACUCCUGUCAGGGGUGAAGAAACUUCGCAAGAAGCUGACGGUAACCCCAGAGGAAGCCCCGGCUAACUACGUGCCAGCAGCCGCGGUAAUACGUAGGGGGCAAGCGUUGCUCGGAAUUACUGGGCGUAAAGGGAGCGUAGGCGUUCUAUUAAGUCUUGAGUGAAAGCCCGCAGCCUAACUGCGGAACUGCUCAGGAAACUGAUAGAAUUGAGUAUGGAAGAGGUCAGUGGAAUUUCCAGUGUAGGGGUAAAAGCCGUAGAUAUUGGAAGGAAUACCAGAAGCGAAGGCGACUGACUGGGACAUUACUGACGCUGAGGCUCGAAAGCGUGGGGAGCAAACA